AACGCACCUUGCGCCCUUUGGCUAUUCCGAAGGGCAUGCCUGUUUGAGUAUCUUGAACACCUCAACUCUCACGUUCCUCGUGAUGAGCUUGGACUUGGGGGCUCUGUUGGCCUGUGGGUCAACUCUCCUCAAAUGAAUCAGCUCGCUGGUGUCUGGCGGCGUCAUGGGUGUGAUAACCGUCUACGCUUGUGAUCGCCUGCAAAGUAAACCUCUGGUCUGCAGAGGUUCGCCGGAGCUUAUAGAUGUCUCUCCUCAGUGAAGACAGCUGUCUGAAGUUCGAUCUCAAAUCAGGUAGGACUACCCGCUGAACUUAA
rnacentral:misc_RNA from 2 species